UCUGUAAUGCCAGAAGGACUUGAUC
rnacentral:piRNA from 1 species